AAUUUCUUCCUUGCCUUCUAGUCUAGCCUAGUCCUCUCUCUUUCUUUCUUCCCAUGUAGACGCACGCGGUCGGCCAGUAACCGAACGCCAACGCCCAACGCCGGCAGUGGUGUCAGACGGACUCUGCUGCAGUAGGCCUAAUGCAUGUAAAAGGAACUACAGGUCGACCACGCCUUCUUGAUGCUUUGAGUUCACACUUUAUGCACCAUGACCAUGUAUCACCAUGACACCAACAAGAAGCAAAAUGAAGCGGAAUCUGCAGGCUGCCGGUAUCACUGUCACUACCUUGCGGCAUACAGUCUGACGACGAUAUCGAUAUCAGCACCAUGCGGUCUGCCGGUAUCAGCACCAUGCGGUCUGCCGGUAUCAGCACCAUGCGGUCUGCCGGUAUCAGCACCACGAUGAGCUUUCAGUAGAUCUAGAAUCUAGAUGAUCUAUGGCCUUCUAAUCAGGUAAAUGAUGUCAUUUGCACCAGUCAGGCGCAGGUUGAUCAUUCAAUCUUGAGGGAUGUGUCAAAUUCCUACUUCAGUGACGUGACUUCUGAAUACUGGGUGGUGUAAAGGAAAGAAAAGUCCACGGCAGUAUGAUAUCAACAUCUGGUCUCAUACAGGAUACUUGGCGUUUGCCAUUGACAGGUAGGAACUGACUUUGGCUCCUGGUGUCUUCGUGGAAUUUAGACUGAAUAUUGGUCCAGCUCAAUGACGCCAGGAACUAUGGACCUUUGUGAUGACAGCAGUCUUUGUCACUCCAAUUCCAAUACUCCCAUGAUGACAUUGUGCAUUCAUUUUUUAUUUAUUUUUUAAAAUCAGAAAAUUUGAAUCUGAUGAAAAUAAAAAUUGGGUGCGUUAACUUAAA